rnacentral:lncRNA from 1 species
AUUGUUAAGCCAUGAGAGUGACAGAUGAGGAAGUUUCACUGUUUCCCUGAGGAACUAGAAUGCACUGUACCUCUUUAGUCUAUCUGACCUUGCCAGCAUCCUCCUGGGAUCCUCCCUGUCCCAAAAUAGCCAUCUACUGGCUGAGAUCUGGCUGCAUCCUGCUUCUGGGCUGCAUGCGCUGUUUGCCAAGGGAGUGAUGGGCUUGCAGGCCUGAGAAGGAUGCCAAAGGUCAACCCUCAGUUAGGAGGGUCAUGGCUGCCAGAAGUUCAGAGGAAUAGGUGUGGGCCAUUUGCACAGCAUAUGGCCUGGUGGGAUAGGAGAAUGGUCUUGGGAACAGAUAUACAUACCAUGAGACUUCCUAGGCCACUUGAGAAAAAUACAAAGACCAAGGAAACUUUCGCAUUAUCUGUCCCUUUUCUUAUUAACAAAUGAGGAGCAGGACAUUAUAGUCUAGCCAGCAAGGAAACAGCUACUUCAGGCCCGCCACGCUGGGGCUGGGUGGGGCUGGCCUGUGUCAAGUCCAGGGUGGGGCAGGCAGUGUGAAGGAUGACACGUUUUUCACCCAGAGGGAAGAAUGGC